rnacentral:rRNA from 1 species
GAAGGUGUGCUGUGAGGCAUGCUGGAGGUAUCAGAAGUGCGAAUGCUGACAUAAGUAACGAUAAAGCGGGUGAAAAGCCCGCUCGCCGGAAGACCAAGGGUUCCUGUCCAACGUUAAUCGGGGCAGGGUGAGUCGACCCCUAAGGCGAGGCCGAAAGGCGUAGUCGAUGGGAAACAGGUUAAUAUUCCUGUACUUGGUGUUACUGCGAAGGGGGGACGGAGAAGGCUAUGUUGGCCGGGCGACGGUUGUCCCGGUUUAAGCGUGUAGGCUGGU